GGGCAUCAUGUAGGAGCAAAUGGAGCUUUUGAUCCUUUGCAUAUCAUGGACUCCCGCAAAGUAACGCCUGCUUCUAUAU